rnacentral:lncRNA from 1 species
ACCAGAAACAACCUAAAUGACCAUCAAUAGCAGAUGGCACAGCGUUAUAAUGGAAUAUUAGGCAGGCCUUGCAAACAAGAGACACACAGGAGCAAUACCAGGAGUAAAGCAAGCUGAGAGCCGGAACAAUAUAAGAAAAGAGCCUACCAUGUGCCAGAGGACAACUUCAAUAAAAAACACCAGGUCAGCGGAUAAGACCAUGUCACUCACAGGUUUGUGACUUGAGGCCUGAGCACCAAUGAUCCACUCCACAUCAGUGGAGAAUGUUGGAAAGUAAGGACGCUGUGGACAUUUUCUGAAGUUGGAGAAAUGGAAUGGUGGAGAAGCCAGUAUUGGGGUACCAUGAGUGGAGCAGAGUUGACUACAAAUCUCAAUAAAGCUUUUCAACUGUAUACCUAACUGCAAAGUCAUUUACUCACAACAAGCAAAAAAAUAAAUAUAUACUUAUCUCCCUUCCAAAUUUAAUCCUUUGACAAUAGAUAAUAAUGAAAUGAACUUAUUCUCUUCAGCUUCCAGGAUGAUACAGCUUCUAGAUAAAACUUCUGGGCUAAUCUUAUUAUUGCAUAACGUUCCUACUCAGGGUAAAAGAAUGACUAAGAAGUGUUGUGAAAGAAUCUUGCUUCUGGGGUCUCCACGGAAUCACACAUCCCACUGUCUCUGCCCCACUUCCCUUCUCUCCCUCAGGCAGCUGAUGACUUGGGCCUGCUGUGAUUUCUCCCUCCGCUAAACUGUCCACUCCACUCACUCAUCACUUAAAACUCUCUCAACUUUGUUAUCUUUGUACAGCACAAGUCUUGUCUUUUCAAUAGAUUUCGAACACCUUAUGAGCAAGAAAUAUGAAUUACACCUUUUAACAUCUGAAAUUGCUCCUA